UAUACGGUGAAACUGCGAAUGGCUCAUUAAAUCAGUUAUCGUUUAUUUGAUAGUACCUUACUACAUGGAUAACCGUGGUAAUUCUAGAGCUAAUACAUGCUAAAAACCUCGACUUCGGAAGGGGUGUAUUUAUUAGAUAAAAAACCAAUGCCCUUCGGGGCUCCUUGGUGAAUCAUAAUAACUUAACGAAUCGCAUGGCCUUGCGCCGGCGAUGGUUCAUUCAAAUUUCUGCCCUAUCAACUUUCGAUGGUAGGAUAGUGGCCUACCAUGGUAUCAACGGGUAACGGGGAAUUAGGGUUCGACUCCGGAGAGGGAGCCUGAGAAACGGCUACCACAUCCAAGGAAGGCAGCAGGCGCGCAAAUUACCCAAUCCCGACACGGGGAGGUAGUGACAAUAAAUACUGAUACAGGGCUCUUUUGGGUCUUGUAAUUGGAAUGAGUACAAUUUAAAUCCCUUAACGAGGAACAAUUGGAGGGCAAGUCUGGUGCCAGCAGCCGCGGUAAUUCCAGCUCCAAUAGCGUAUAUUAAAGUUGUUGCAGUUAAAAAGCUCGUAGUUGAACCUUGGGCCUGGCUGGCCGGUCCGCCUCACCGCGUGUACUGGUCCGGCCGGGCCUUUCCUUCUGGGGAACCUCAUGCCCUUCACUGGGCGUGUUGGGGAACCAGGACUUUUACUUUGAAAAAAUUAGAGUGUUCAAAGCAGGCCUUUGCUCGAAUACAUUAGCAUGGAAUAAUAGAAUAGGACGUGUGGUUCUAUUUUGUUGGUUUCUAGGACCGCCGUAAUGAUUAAUAGGGAUAGUCGGGGGCAUCAGUAUUCAAUCGUCAGAGGUGAAAUUCUUGGAUUGAUUGAAGACUAACUACUGCGAAAGCAUUUGCCAAGGAUGUUUUCAUUAAUCAGUGAACGAAAGUUAGGGGAUCGAAGACGAUCAGAUACCGUCGUAGUCUUAACCAUAAACUAUGCCGACUAGGGAUCGGACGGUGUUAGUAUUUUGACCCGUUCGGCACCUUACGAGAAAUCAAAGUUUUUGGGUCUGGGGG
rnacentral:rRNA from 1 species